rnacentral:rRNA from 1 species
UACGGGGGGGGCAAGCGUUGUUCGGAAUUACUGGGCGUAAAGGGCUCGUAGGCGGCCAACUAAGUCAGACGUGAAAUCCCCAGGCUCAACUUGGGAACUGCGUCUGAUACUGGAUGGCUUGAAUUCGGGAGAGGGAUGCAGAAUUCCAGGUGUAGCGGUGAAAUGCGUAGAUAUCUGGAGGAAUACCGGUGGCGAAGGCGGCAUCCUGGACCGACAUUGACGCUGAGGAGCGAAAGCUAGGGGAGCAAACAGG